rnacentral:rRNA from 1 species
ACACAUGCAAGUCGAGCGGUAGCACAGAGAGCUUGCUCUCGGGUGACGAGCGGCGGACGGGUGAGUAAUGUCUGGGAAACUGCCUGAUGGAGGGGGAUAACUACUGGAAACGGUAGCUAAUACCGCAUAAYGUCGCAAGACCAAAGUGGGGGACCUUCGGGCCUCAUGCCAUCAGAUGUGCCCAGAUGGGAUUAGCUAGUAGGUGGGGUAACGGCUCACCUAGGCGACGAUCCCUAGCUGGUCUGAGAGGAUGACCAGCCACACUGGAACUGAGACACGGUCCAGACUCCUACGGGAGGCAGCAGUGGGGAAUAUUGCACAAUGGGCGCAAGCCUGAUGCAGCCAUGCCGCGUGUGUGAAGAAGGCCUUCGGGUUGUAAAGCACUUUCAGCGGGGAGGAAGGCGKUAAGGUUAAUAACCUYRKCGAUUGACGUUACCCGCAGAAGAAGCACCGGCUAACUCCGUGCCAGCAGCCGCGGUAAUACGGAGGGUGCAAGCGUUAAUCGGAAUUACUGGGCGUAAAGCGCACGCAGGCGGUCUGUCAAGUCGGAUGUGAAAUCCCCGGGCUCAACCUGGGAACUGCAUUCGAAACUGGCAGGCUAGAGUCUUGUAGAGGGGGGUAGAAUUCCAGGUGUAGCGGUGAAAUGCGUAGAGAUCUGGAGGAAUACCGGUGGCGAAGGCGGCCCCCUGGACAAAGACUGACGCUCAG